rnacentral:rRNA from 1 species
CCUACGGGGUGCUGCAGUGGGGAAUAUUGGACAAUGGGCGAAAGCCUGAUCCAGCCAUGCCGCGUGUGUGAAGAAGGCCUUCGGGUUGUAAAGCACUUUCAGUGGGGAAGAAAGCCUUGGGGCUAAUACCCUCGAGGAAGGACAUCACCCACAGAAGAAGCACCGGCUAACUCCGUGCCAGCAGCCGCGGUAAUACGGAGGGUGCGAGCGUUAAUCGGAAUUACUGGGCGUAAAGCGCGCGUAGGCGGUCUGAUAAGCCGGUUGUGAAAGCCCCGGGCUCAACCUGGGAACGGCAUCCGGAACUGUCAGGCUAGAGGGCAGGAGAGGAAGGUAGAAUUCCCGGUGUAGCGGUGAAAUGCGUAGAGAUCGGGAGGAAUACCAGUGGCGAAGGCGGCCUUCUGGACUGACACUGACGCUGAGGUGCGAAAGCGUGGGUAGCAAACAGGAUUAGAUACCCGAGUGUC